rnacentral:rRNA from 1 species
AUUGAACGCUGGCGGCAGGCCUAACACAUGCAAGUCGAGCGGAUGAGAGGAGCUUGCUUCUCGAUUCAGCGGCGGACGGGUGAGUAAUGCCUAGGAAUCUGCCUGGUAGUGGGGGACAACGUUUCGAAAGGAACGCUAAUACCGCAUACGUCCUACGGGAGAAAGCAGGGGACCUUCGGGCCUUGCGCUAUCAGAUGAGCCUAGGUCGGAUUAGCUAGUUGGUGAGGUAAUGGCUCACCAAGGCGACGAUCCGUAACUGGUCUGAGAGGAUGAUCAGUCACACUGGAACUGGGACACGGUCCAGACUCCUACGGGAGGCAGCAGUGGGGAAUAUUGGACAAUGGGCGAAAGCCUGAUCCAGUCAUGCCGCGUGUGUGAAGAAGGUCUUCGGAUUGUAAAGCACUUUAAGUUGGGAGGAAGGGUUGUAGAUUAAUACUCUGCAAUUUUGACGUUACCGACAGAAUAAGCACCGGCUAACUCUGUGUCAGCAGCCGCAGUAAAAC